UACAGAGGUCCCAAGCGUUGUUCGGAUUCACUGGGCGUAAAGGGUGCGUAGGUGGCAGUGUAAGUCUGAUGUGAAAGCUUCGAGCUUAACUCGAAAAUGGCAUUGGAUACUAUAUUGCUGGAGGUUUGGAGGGGGGACUGGAAUUCUCGGUGUAGCAGUGAAAUGCGUAGAUAUCGAGAGGAGCACCGGUGGCGAAGGCGAGUCCCUGGACAACACCUGACACUGAGGCACGAAAGCUAGGGGAGCAAACAGG
rnacentral:rRNA from 1 species